rnacentral:rRNA from 1 species
UACGUAGGUGACAAGCGUUGUCCGGAUUUACUGGGCGUAAAGAGCGCGCAGGCGGUCGAUCAAGUCGAGUGUGAAAGCCCCCGGCUCAACUGGGGAGGGUCAUUCGAUACUGAUCGACUCGAAGGCAGGAGAGGGUAGUGGAAUUCCCGGUAUAGUGGUGAAAUGCGUAGAUAUCGGGAGGAACACCAGUGGCGAAGGCGACUACCUGGCCUGUUCUUGACGCUGAGGCGCGAAAGCUAGGGGAGCAAACAGGG